AUCCAGAUGUUUACUGAUCUCAGAAACUGUUUUAUCGAUCUAAAACAUCAGCGGUAAACAUCAGGUCUUGGUGUCAGUCCCUCACAAUCGAAGAGCGAGGCU